AUUCCAGACACCUAGCUGAACUUGAAUUUCAGACAAAAAAAAAAAUUAGUAUAAGUAUACCCCAUUCAAUAUUUGGGACAUACUUACACUAAAAAAUUAUUUGUUGUUCACCUGAAAUUCUAAUUUAACUGAGCAUCCUGUGUUCU
rnacentral:miRNA from 1 species